GAGGUGGGGGGAUCGCUUGAGUCUAGGAGUUUGAGGCUGCAGUGAGCUAUGAUCGUGCCACUGCACUCCAGCCUGAGUGACAGAGCAAGACCCUGUCUC
ensembl:miRNA